rnacentral:rRNA from 1 species
CAUUAUGCAUAUCUGGGACACCCAAGUGUUCCCUGACCCAAACCCUCUCUGUGUACCAAUCCAUGUUGCUUUCCUGGGUGGUUUGCUCCCGGGAAAGGGCCUAUCCAAAGCUAAUAGUUGAAUCAGCAGUCUGAGUUGGCCCAGUGCCGUAUUCUUUGAAUAAGUUUAAAACUUUCAACAACGGAUCUCUUGGCUCUCGCAUCGAUGAAGAACGCAGCGAAAUGCGAUAAGUAAUGUGAAUUGCAGAAUUCAGUGAAUCAUCGAAUCUUUGAACGCACAUUGCGCCUCUUGGUAUUCCUCGGGGCAUGCCUGUUCGAGCGUCACUGCAAACCCGCUCAUAAGUAUUAUGGUAUUGAUGGAAGUGAACUGAGGCUAGCCAUAUGCCUGGAUCACCCCAUCGAAAUGCAUAGGCAGGACAAUCAACCUCUGCAAUGGACUUAGUAACUGUUUUGAAGACAAAAAUCAGUCCCUUGCUUAGGAGCUGGCCUGGCCUCCAUGGACCUCCAUCCAAGAUGAAAUCUGGGUUGACCUCGGAUCAGGUAGGGAUACCCGCUGAACUUAAGCAUAUCAAUAAGCGGAGGA